UCGAACGCGAAAGGGGAGCAAUCCCUGAGUAGAGUGGCAAACGGGUGAGUAACACGUGGGUGACCUGCCUUCGAGUGGGGGAUAACGUCCCGAAAGGGACGCUAAUACCGCAUGACAUCCUGCCUUUAGACAGGCGGAGAUCAAAGCUGGGGAUCGCAAGACCUGGCGCUUGAAGAGGGGCCCGCGCCUGAUUAGCUAGUUGGUGAGGUAACGGCUCACCAAGGCGACGAUCAGUAUCCGGCCUGAGAGGGCGGACGGACACACUGGGACUGAGACACGGCCCAGACUCCUACGGGAGGCAGCAGUGGGGAAUUGUUCGCAAUGGGCGCAAGCCUGACGACGCAACGCCGCGUGGAGGACGAAGAUCUUCGGGUCGUAAACUCCUGUCGAGCGGGAAGAACGUUCCGCGGUUGAAUAACCCGCGGAAGUGACGGUACCGCUAAAGGAAGCCCCGGCUAACUCCGUGCCAGCAGCCGCGGUAAUACGGGGGGGGCAAGCGUUGUUCGGAAUUACUGGGCGUAAAGGGCUCGUAGGUGGCCAACUAAGUCAGACGUGAAAUCCCCAGGCUCAACUUGGGAACUGCGUCUGAUACUGGAUGGCUUGAAUUCGGGAGAGGGAUGCAGAAUUCCAGGUGUAGCGGUGAAAUGCGUAGAUAUCUGGAGGAAUACCGGUGGCGAAGGCGGCAUCCUGGACCGAGAUUGACACUGAUGAGCGAAAGCCAGGGGAGCAAACGGGAUU
rnacentral:rRNA from 1 species